UUAAAAUAUGGGAAAGUGCCAAAGUAAAAAAAAUUGAAAGAAAUGGCGGGCAUCAAAAUUUUUAAGCGGCAAUGUUAUAUUUUUUUUUAUGCGAAAGGUUAAACAUCUUUUUUUUUCAAUGGCUUUCCAACGCUAUGUUAUUUUCCUCACUCACUCUCUUUCUCUCUCUAAAACACUCUCUCCUUGGUUCUUCUCGAUUGCUCUCUCUUCGUGGAGUACUCUCUCCGUCACUCUCUCCUUUGUAAAUUCCACUCAAUUUUUUUCUCUUCCCAGUGAAACCCUCUCCUUCAAUUUUUCUCCCCAGUGGAAGCCCUCUCUACUGCUCUCUUCCUUGGGGAUGCCCUCUCCCGUGCUUUCUCUUGGCAAUGAAGCAUCUACAAGAACAAAGAUCGGAGAACAGCUUCCUCAUAUAGAUCGAAGCGUAGAUCGAAGAGCAUCUCUGCAGAUCGAGCUCAUUGCUCACCGCUGGUUUAGAUCACCGUUCAACCACACCUCUCUUCUUCUUCGGUUCAGAUCUAGCGAAGCUUCAGUGGUUACCAGAGGGGUUUCUACGUUACCAGAGAUAUGGGGUGGUACAUUUUCUCCUACUCAAAAUCUGGGCUCAGCUUCCGUUUCUGGGUCUCUCUCAGCAUUUCUUUAAUGUACAUGAGUCUGCAGGCUUACACUUGUGUUUUUUUUUCAAUCACAAGGUUGAUUCUUUUGUGUUUAAUUAACAGCUUUCUGACCUGUCAUUUCUAUUGGAUUGCUAAUUGGAAUAUCUAGGUUAUUUGCAGUUUUUUAUAUUUGUUGUUUCUAUUGUUUUAGAGCAUGAAAUUUAAGAAUCUGAUCCCCGACAGUGAAUUCAUGCCUAUAGGACAUUAGAUUUGAUGCCUACCUUCCAGUUUACUUGUCAAUUUAUAGGUCUUAUCUUUGUUCCUGACUGCUCUUACCAUCGUAUAUAGGAUUAAAAGCCAAACGUUUUGUCUAAUAUCUUUAAUAAGCAAAAGAAGAAAAGUAUUGUAGGUCCAUGAAAUGAUAUGUAACUAAUUUUAUUACUACUGUAAUUAUUAGUUAGGAAGUAUUAUUAAUUAUUUGUAGCUAUGAUAUAUGAAUGAACUUUAUUAGGUUACCAUAAUAAUUAUGAUCAUGCAGUAGUGCACAUCCAGGCAACUUAUAAUGUGGUUAAUUUAAAAGACAUUAAAAGUGAAAUUGAAUUAAGAGUACCACUUCACAUGAGUAUGAAUAUAUGGAGUUUUAUAUUCUCCAAUAUUUGUCUUACACAUCAUACCCACCUUAUAAAUAUUUGUAAAUAUUAGGCUGUGACAAUUUUCUUUUGAGAAAAUGCUACUUACUGAUUGGGGUAACCCCACAUGGGCCCACAUAGGGCCCAAUUCAAUCAAUGGUGAGCGUGUCUUACUUUGCUUUUUCUUUAUCUAUUUUCUUUAUUUCUUUUGAUCUUUCGUAAUGCUAAGGUAAUAUUAACAACAUAUAUAUGACCCACAAUUGUUGAGGAUUAAUUGAUUAUUGUCAAUGGUGCUAGUUUUAUAUAAUAAUACUUUAGCUUAAUAUAUGUAUAUAAUUGUACUUGUAAAUAUUAUUAAUUGAAAUCAAUACGAGUUCAAAACAUUCAUGCUCAACUUCUUCUCUUGUUCUCAAAUUCUUGUUUUCUCUGUUCUCAAACUUAAUAAUAAUAAUGAUUUACUUUUUAAAGUUGAGUAUUUUUUUUAAGGUGUGAAAGUUAAAUACUCUACUUUCCUCAAAGAAGAAAAAAGAAGUUAAACACUCGACAACGUUCAACAAGUAAAGUCAAUAUUAUUCAUACCUAAUUAAGAAGUUAAACACUGCCCUAAUUAAGAGUUGUUGUGAAUAUAGUAACAUUCCAAAUUAAGAGAUUCUAACGUUCUUGAUUCUAACAACUUGUGUUUGUGGUAUUGUGUCAUAAAACCUUAUUUAUGCUUUUCCCCUUUCCCUCUUCAGCACCCCAAAGACAACUUGUGUCUGUUCUGAAAUUGAUGUUUCUCCUCGCCACUCCAUAGACAGCUCACUGAAGUUAUUUUCCUGAGACACGCAAUCACGCACUCACACCUCUAGGCUUCUCCUCAUCAGUCCCCGAACAGUUUAGACUUCAAAUCUUUGGAUGAUUCAACAAGUGAAGUGCAAAAGAAAAUUUGAUUUGAACGGCUUUGGUGUGCUGACAUUUGGAAGAUCAUGAAUUCCUACCUUUACUUUUGAAUAUGUAACUGUUUAAGAUUAUUUUGUUAACUAUUCUGAGAAUGUUUUGUUUAUGUUAAUUAGGCAUUGUUGAAUAUUUUAAGACUUUUGGAUUAUUUUUUAGAUAAUCUUGAAUGUAUUUUGACACAAUUAUUUAGUUAUAUGUGUUAUGAACCAUAUAAUUGGUACUCAAAAAUAUAUUUGUACAAUGUUAAGAGUGUUUUAAGUAUAUUAAAUGAAGCGGG